GCCUCGGUGGUGUAGUGGUAGAGCACGCGUCCCCGGAUAGGAUGAAACGUGGGUUCGAUUCCCGCCUGAGGCU